rnacentral:lncRNA from 1 species
UCACUUAAAUAUUGUUGAUUUGGGAAAAAACAUUUGUGUGGAAAUUAUUUCUCGCUUUAACGUGGGAAAAAUAACUCCUGCGUCAAAAAAAUUUCUACAUAUGAAGAUGUUUACCACUUCACAGGAGUGUAAGAUUUAAUAUUGUGUGUCUGUGUGUGUUUAUAUUAUGUAAUGUUUUACAGUUGUAGUUGUAAAUACUAUUUUAUGUCUAUAUAGAACUCUAGCUGUUUUUCUUAUUUUUUCUUGAAAUUUUUGUACUAUCUUUAUCUUUAAAAUAAUAAUCCCUCAUCCCACCUAUGACUUUAUUUUCUCUUUUUCUUUUGCAGUAAAAGUUAUUUUUUCUGCUGGUUUAU